AUGAAGGCUUGACUAAUUUCUAAAGUAUGCUAUAGUAUAAAAGAAUAUUCUGAAGAUUAAAAAUUAAUUGCUUAUAACUUACUUAGUGGAGCAUUGGUAUUGCGACGUUAAGAGGUGAAAUUCUUGGAUCGUCGCAAGACGAACAUCAGCGAAAGCAUUUCCCAAAGCUGUUU
rnacentral:ncRNA from 1 species